rnacentral:rRNA from 1 species
UUUAGAUACCCCACUAUGCUUAGCCGUAAACUUAAGUGAUUAACAACAAAAUCACCCGCCAGAGAACUACUAGCCACCGCUUAAAACUCAAAGGACUUGGCGGUACUUUAUAUCUGUCUAGAGGAGCCUGUUCUA